AUGAUGAAUGCAUUUUUUUCAAAAUCUUUUUUUCAUUUCUCUCUCCCACUACCUUUUCAUUUCUUUCUACCACUACCACAACUCUACCCACUUUAUUUCCUUCUUCCUAUUUUCUUUCUUCCACUUCUUCCUCUUCUUUCUUCAUCAUUCUUAUUAUACUUUUUCUCUUUCAAAAUGAUUUACAAAAAUGGUUUACGAAAAAAUUGUUUAUGAAAAUGGUUUAUAAAAUAUUUUGAUUAUUAUUUCUUCUCCUUAUUUCUAUUUUUUAAGAAAUAGUUAACAAAAAUUCUUGCAAACUUGUCUUCAUAAGAAGAAAAAAAAAUUUAUUGAUGCAUGGUUAAUGAUUGGCUUUACUCAUUAUUUUCUUGAUUAAUUUUUUGAAUAGGUUUGUUGAGGAAGUAAGUGUUCAUCUUCUUCAUCCGAGUUCAGAGACUAUUAGCAAAGACUAUUGGAUAGAGGUUGAGGAUGAGAUUCUUGAAGAUUUGGAGUUUUGGGUUUUAUUUUUUGAUUUUGUUAAUUGUAUGUUGAAGGAAUUUGUUAAGAAGGAUGAUUCUGUUCAAAAUUUUAGUUGAAUUUCUUGAUUUA